CAAUAGCGUAUAUCAAAGUUGUUGCAGUUAAAAAGCUCGUAGUUGGAUUUCUGGUGGGAGCGAUCGGUCUGGCGCUUAGCGCGAGUACUUGCAUCGUCUCCGGCCAUCCUUGGGGAGAGUCUGUCUGGCAUUAAGUUGUCGGGCAGAGGAUCCUCAUCGUUUACUGUGAAAAAAUUAGAGUGUUCAAAGCAGGCUUAUGCCGUUGAAUAUAUUAGCAUGGAAUAAUAAGAUAGGACUUUGGUACUAUUUUGUUGGUUUGCGCACCAAAGUAAUGAUUAAUAGGGACAGUUGGGGGUAUUCGUAUUCCGUUGUCAGAGGUGAAAUUCUUGGAUUUACGGAAGACGAACUACUGCGAAAGCAUUUACCAAGGAUGUUUUCAUUAA
rnacentral:rRNA from 1 species